UGAAAUGCGAAAAGUAAUGCGAUUUGCAUGAAUCUGUGAGUCAUCAAGUCUUUGAACGCACCUUGCACCGUAUGAGCAAUUGUACGGUAUACCUGUUUGAGAAUCGUAAAACGCUAUUUCUAUCGUUAGAUAGAAGACUUGUCGGCUGUGCGCUUCGGCGCACUCUGAUUAAAAGGAGCAAGUCUGGAUCGGGCUGGUGGCCUGGGACACUGUGUGCUAGAGACGUCGCUUCGGCUGACUGUCUUCUCACAGUGCGUCCUGGGCUACUCUUAAAGCUGGUCUGAUGCGGGCUUUCCAGUGGCAUGUGUGUGAGAUUUCUCCCACUUAUCACAACCCCCCACUUUGAUCUCAAAUCAGGUAAGGCUACCCGCUGAACUUAA
rnacentral:misc_RNA from 1 species